rnacentral:rRNA from 1 species
UGGAGCCAUCCUUGAAAUACCACCCUGGCAACUUUGAGGUUCUAACUCAGGUCCGUUAUCCGGAUCGAGGACAGUGUAUGGUGGGUAGUUUGACUGGGGCGGUCUCCUCCCAAAGAGUAACGGAGGAGUACGAAGGUGCGCUCAGACCGGUCGGAAAUCGGUCGUAGAGUAUAAAGGCAAAAGCGCGCUUGACUGCGAGACAAACACGUCGAGCAGGUACGAAAGUAGGUCUUAGUGAUCCGGUGGUUCUGUAUGGAAGGGCCAUCGCUCAACGGAUAAAAGGUACUCCGGGGAUAACAGGCUGAUACCGCCCAAGAGUUCAUAUCGACGGCGGUGUUUGGCACCUCGAUGUCGGCUCAUCACAUCCUGGGGCUGAAGCCGGUCCCAAGGGUAUGGCUGUUCGCCAUUUAAAGUGGUACGCGAGCUGGGUUUAGAACGUCGUGAGACAGUUCGGUCCCUAUCUGCCGUGGACGUUUGAGAUUUGAGAGGGGCUGCUCCUAGUACGAGAGGACCGGAGUGGACGAACCUCUGGUGUUCCGGUUGUCACGCCAGUGGCAUUGCCGGGUAGCUAUGUUCGGAA